AAUUUAAUGAGGUAGUUUACAUAAUGCCCUGUCUGUUGGUUUGUUUGUUUGUGCAAACCUUAACAUUUGCAAUAACUUUUGCAAUAUUAAAGGUAGCAACUUCAUAUAUAGCAUGCAUGUGUAUCUCAAGGAUCUACACACUUUGAGUUGUGUAAGGUCAAGGUAUUUUUUUUGUUGGUAAAAUUGAUGAAUUAAUAUGACAUCUCUUUGCAAAUUGUUUAAAAAUUAAUACAUAACUUGUUUCAGAAACAUGUUUAAUAACAUUCGAUUGUCAUUUAUUCGAAUUUGAAAGUUGUCAAAAGUAAUUAUUUCUCCCUAUACGGUAGCUUUAGGUAUAUGUGAUAUGUCAUAAGAAAACUAGUCUUCAUUGCAUUACAAAUUAAUGAAGCAUUCUUUACAUUUGCUUUUAUGACAAAAAAACUAGUUUAGACUUGUAAAAUUGAUAAAAAUAAUUAUUUGAACAUAAAGUUUGACCAGAGUGAACAAUUUAAACACACAAGUUUAUAACGACGUGUAUCUUGUGCUUUGCAUUUGUUUAAAAGUUGCCUUAUAAUUGUGCGAAGCAUGUCUUCUCAAAUUAAAAAUGCAUCUUAUUCAAAGGUGAUCAGAACUAAAUGUGUUGUUUUUUUAUAAUUCAGGGAUAAAAAAAAAUCAGACUAAGAAACCAUAUACAAUAAUUCAUAGUCUGUUGUCUUCACAGAGAGAAACUUCAAUAAAAAAAAUAUGCUGUCAUUUUAUAAUACCUUCGUGUUUGCCUCACGGUUGCCUAUUGAUUGUUUUAAAAUAGGAAGUUUAUAAUGAGGUAUAUAACACAAAGAAAUUUCAUAUUUGAAUCAUUUUUAUGCUCCUCUAAAAAAUUCUUGUCUGAGCUUUUUCUCAGCAACUUAUUACGGGAAUUCAAUGAAACUUUAUGGGAAGCUUCACUACCAAGAGGAGAUGUGCAUGUUAUCAGCCAGUUAUGGUCGGAUGAUUUUUCACAGAGUUAUGGCCCAUUGAAAUUUUCCAUUAACUGUACAUAUUGUGCAUUCUUGUUCGGGCUAUUUUAGCAACUAAUGUCUGCAAUUGAAUGAAACUUUAUGGGAAGCUUCACUACCAACAGGACAUGUGCAUAUUAUCAGCAAGUUAUGUUCGGAUGAUUUUUCACAGAGUUAUGGCCCUUUGAAAUUUUCAAUAUACUGUACAUAUAGUGCAAUUCUUGUCUGGGCUAUUUAUCCCCAACUAAUAACUUGAAUUCAAUGAAGUUUUAUGGGAAGCUUAACUGCCUUGAAGAGAUGUGCGUGUUAUUUGUGGGUUCUGGUUAGAUGAUUUAUUUAGAGACUCAUGGCCCUUUGAAAUUGUUAAGUUGCUAAACCAUCCAUCCUAUUAUUUUGUCCAAAGUUAUGCCCCUCAAGAUGUUUCCUUUUAUCUGAAUAUAUAGUGCAAUAUUGUGACCAAAAAAAACUUUGGGGAGCUUCACCCAUCUCUGACGGCUUGUUUUAAUUAAAUAUUAAUUGUAAAUCCCAUAUCACCUUUUAUCAUACUUUUUUGUAAUUUACAACUUGGUUUUCUGACAAUUGUUUUCCUUGUUUUGUUUCAAAUAGGCAUGAUAUGGUUACUAUUAAAUCAACUUCAUAUGUUCUUCCCUUGUGAUAAGUAUUUUUUAUAUCUAUUUCUUAAUAUUUUUCAGUAGUAAUAAUGUCUAAGAAUGUAUCUGGGUAGAAUGAAUAUCUGUUCUUUUAAAGGUUGUAACUGAUGCUCUAUUUCUUUUGGACAUGACAUGUUACUGUCUCGUUUGUACAGAGAUUCAAUUAAAUACUACAUUUUAUUAUGUGUGAUUCUAUUUUUGUGUUCCAAAUAGGCAGUCUGACAUAUUAGGUAUAUUGAAAACUCUUACAUAUAACAUUUGUAAGUAUCUGUUAUUAAUGAUAGUUAAAUGAAACAAUGGUUGUAUAGUUGUGUAUAUUACAAAGUAUAAUUAUUGUUAUAUUUCGAAAUAUGUUAUGUUUAUAUUUUAAUUUUCAUACACUUUCAACUAUAAUUUGUAAUAGUGCCGUUGCUACUUAAAUUUUAUGUGGUUUGGAUGCUCACUGUUAUAUUCUAUGCUCCUUCAAAAUACAAUUAAGGUUUCACCUUAACAGUUAUAACGCGAGUGAAAAGCAUCCAUAUGUAGCAAUAUACACUGUAAACAUGUGAUUUAAAACAAGUUUUGUUCAAUUAUCUGUAAAGUUCAUUCAUAACUAUUUUAUAACAUGUCUGCUAAAUCCACUUACUGUAUUCAAGCAUUUUGCAUUAUUGUUUUUGUUUAACACUAGAAACUGUAAAGUUUAUGUGUAAUAAAAUUAUGUUCUGUUCUGUAAUGAUUGUAUGCUGAUGUAGUUGUUGCAUUAACAUUAAGUAGACAUAAAAAUUCGGUAUUCUAUAUACUACUAACAUUUUAUUGUGAUUCAAGUUGUAUUAAGUUUUGUUCUCUAAACAGAUAUUGAAUUAUUUUACUGAUACAACAACAUACGGUAUUAAAGCAGUUCCAUAUAUAGCUAGAUACACUGUUAUCAUGUUUGUCUAAAAUAUCUGUAAAGUCUAUCCAUAACCAAAUUAUGAUAUUUCUGUUAGAAAAAAAACGACAAACUAUAUGUAUUCAUGUAUUUUGUAUAAUCGCUUUGUUUAACACUAGAAACUGUAAAGUUUAUGUGUAAUAAAAUUAUGUUCUGUAUAUUACAUGAUAAUCUAUCAAUGUUGUUUUGUGAACACAACCUCUGGUUCUAUGGAAAAAAAAACACAAACCUUAAGCACUUAAUUUGUCGGUAUGUGUGCAUUUGUGUGUAUGGGUGUGCGAUAAAUUGCAAGUGUUUCCUGUUCGCGUGUUUGUGUUUUGUGUGAAUUAUGUUAAGCAAAUUAAUUUAACAAAAAAGUUUAUUUGACUUUAUUAGAUGAUAGUAUUGAGUGUCCUACCAAGAAAAAUUGGUGCACGCUAUUAAGGGAUCUACUAAGUAAUUUGGGAUUUUAUGAUGCUUGGUUUUUUCAAGAUGUUGGAAAUAAAAUAUGUUUGUAUCAGUCGUAAGACAAAGAUAGAGCGACAUGUUUGUACAGAAUUGGAAUGAGCGACUUCAUACUUCUACUAGGGCAAAUUUUUAUAAACAUAUCUCGUUUUUCAAUUUCAACCGUACCUGAAUACAUGUAUAUGCAAUGUCAACAAGUUUCGAGUAAAUUUAUCAAAAUUACGUAUGUCAUCACAUAGAUUAAAUAUCGAGUCAGGCAGAUGGGCUAGACCUACACCAAUUCCAUUAGAUCAAAGAAAGUGUACUGUUUGUAAUUAACUCGAAAAAGAGUUUCAUUUUAUUCUUGAAUGUACAAUAUAUACUGAACUGAGAUCAAAAUAUAUUCCAUUGUAUUACAGACAACGACCAAACAUGUACAAAUUUAUCGAGCUAAUAGAGCUAAUAACAUCAAAUAAUGAACUAUUAAUAAAAAAAUUAAGCUGUUAUAUUUAUCACUCUUUUAAGGUUCGAACGCAUAAUACAUGUGUCAUCAAUUUGAUUUAUUCUGAAAUGUUUUGUGCGGUAUAUAUCUUGUUGUAACUUUAAUUGCAUUUAUUAUGUACUGCAUAUUAAUUGUUGGGAUAGUACCGCAUAUGUAACGUGUUUUUAUUCACGUGUUUUUUAAUCUGUCUUUGUGUUUUAACGGUCGCCUUUAAUGGACUGUCAAAACUGUAUUUGAAUGUAUUUAAUCAAUUGCCAUUAUUAUCUUUUUAAUGAAGGUUAUAUUAUAGUAUCGUGUCUGUUCCUAGAUGUAUUCUACGACAAUAUGGCUGCAUUUUUAGAACUGUUAUGCACUGAUUUACAACUAUUAUGUCUGUCGGUCGGUCGGUCCGUAUACCAGGUGGUUUCCGGAUGAUAACUCAAUAACGCUUGGGCCUAGGAUCUUGAAACUUCAUAGGUACAUUGAUCAUGACUCGCAGAUGACCCCUAUUGAUUUUCAGGUCACAAGGUCAAGGUCACGGUGACCCGAAAUAGUAACAUGGUUUCCGGAUGAUAACUGAAGAACGCUUAUGCCUAGGAUCAUGAAACUUCAUGGGUAGAUUGAUCAUGACUUGCAGAUGACCCCUAUUGAUUUUGAGGUCACUAGGUCAAAGGUCAAGGUCACGGUGACAAAAAUCGUAUACACACAAUGGCUGCCACUACAACGGACAGCCCAUAUGGGGGGCAUGCAUGUUUUACAAACAGCCCUUGUUUGUAUAUUGCAUUAAAUUGAGUUUAUUAGCCUCAUACACUCUGACGCACUUAGGAUAUAUUUAAUUACAUGUAUACUUUCGAUAAUUAUUUAUGUUCUAGUGUAAUGUAUAAUAACUCAUAAUGUAUAAUAAUUCAUGUAGGCACCGUUGUAACCAAACGAUUUUAUUUCUUUGCAUAACUUUAUUUUGUAUAAUCAUAAACUGUGUAUUGUGGAAACACUGUAUCAUGUAUGCUUGAUUUGUCCACUUGGGCUUUUGGCUUUCUGGAUGGAUUGUUUAAUAAACUAUGUUCUAAAAAAUGCAAA